UGGGGAAUAUUGCACAAUGGACGGAAGUUUGAUGCAGCGACGCCGCGUGGAGGGUGUAGGCCUUCGGGUUGUGAACUCCUUUUUCUCGCGAAAAAGGCACAGUUUUGGCUGUGUUGAUGGUAGUGGGGUAAGAAGCGCCGGCUAACUACGUGCCAGCAGCCGCGGUAAUACGUAGGGCGCGAGCGUUGUCCGGAUUUAUCGGGCGUAAAGAGCUCGUAGGUGGUUCGUCGCGUCUGUCGUGAAAGCCAGCAGCUUAACUGUUGGUCGGCGGGGGGAACGGGCGGGCUUGAGUGCGGUAGGGGUGACUGGAAUUCCUGGUGUAGCGGUGAAAUGCGCAGAUAUCAGGAGGAACACCGAUGGCGAAGGCGGGUCACUGGGCCGUUACUGACACUGAGGAGCGAAAGCGUGGGGAGCGAACAGG
rnacentral:rRNA from 1 species